ensembl:lncRNA GBA1LP glucosylceramidase beta 1 like, pseudogene
AGGGCUGCUUUUCUCGCGGCACGGGUGGUGGGGCUGCUUCUUGACUUCCGCGCCUAGUGCGCAGGGCCCCAUUCUCCAGUCCCGCCCACGCGCCUUUGGAGGCUGCGGUGGGAUUUCCUUUUGCCUUCGGUUGGGGCUGCUGUUUCUCUUCGCCGACGUGGAUCCUCUAUCCUUCAGAGACUCUGGAACCCCUGUGCUCUUCUCCUCAUCUAGUGACCCUGAGGUGAUGGAGUUUUCAAGUCCUUCCAGAGAGGAAUGUCCCAAGCCUUCGGGUAGGGUAAGCAUCAUGGCUGGCAGCCUCACAGGAUUGCUUCUACUUCAGGCAGUGUCGUGGGCAUCAGAUGAGUGAGUCAAGGCAGUGGGGAGGUAGCACAGAGCCUCCCUUCUGCCUCAUAGUCCUUUGGUAGCCUUCCAGUAAGCUGGUGGUAGACUUUUAGUAGGUGCUCAAUAAAUCCUUUUGAGUGACUGAGACCAACUUUGGGGUGAGGAUUUUUGAAACCGUCUUCAGUCUCUCCAAACAGCUGUGUCCGUUCUCCACAUCCUUGUCAGACCUCACCUCUGCUUGUGCUCCCUCCCUCCCAGGUGGUGCCCCUGCAUCCCUAAAAGCUUCAGUACAGCUCGGUGGUCUGUGUCUGCAAUGCCACAUACUGUGACUCUUGACCCCCCGACCUUUCCUGCCCUAGGUGCCUUCAGCCGCUACAAGAGCAGAAGCAGUGGGCAUUGGAUGGAGCUGAGUACAGGACCAUACAGGCUAAUUGCACCGGCACAGGAAUCGGAUAUAACAUCAUCUGGGUACCCAUGGCCAGCUGUGACUUCUCCAUCCGCACCUACACCUAUGCAGACACCCCUGAUGAUUUCCAGUUGCACAACUUCAGCCUCCCAGAGGAAGAUACCAAGCUCAAGAUACCCCUGAUUCACCGAGCCCUGCAGUUGGCCCAGCGUCCCGUUUCACUCCUUGCCAGCCCCUGGACAUCACCCACUCGGCUCAAGACCAGGGGAGCGGGGAAUGGGAAGGGGCCACUCAAGGGACAGCCCAGAGACAUCUACCACCAGACCUGGGCCAGAUACAUUGUGAAGUUCCUGGAUGCCUAUGCUGAGCACAAGUUACAGUUCUGGGCAGUGACAGCUGAAAAUGAGCCUUCUGCUGGGCUGUUGAGUGGAUACCCCUUCCAGUGCCUGGGCUUCACCCCUGAACAUCAGCGAGACUUCAUUGCCCGUGACCUAGGUCCUACCCUUGCCAACGGUACUCACCACAAUGUCCGCCUACUCAUGCUGGAUGACCAACGCUUGCUGCUGCCCCACUGGGCAAAGGUGGUACUGACAGACCCAGAAGCAGCUAAGUAUGUUCAUGGUAUUGCUGUACAUUGGUACCUGGACUUUCUGGCUCCAGCCAAAGCCACCCUAAGGGAGACACACCACCUGUUCCCCAACACCAUGCUCUUUGCCUCAGAGGCCUGUGUGGGUUCCAAGUUCUGGGAGCAGAGUGUGCGGCUAGGCUCCUGGGAUCGAGGGAUGCAGUACAGCCACAGCAUCAUCACAAACCUCCUGUACCAUGUGGUCGGCUGGACCGACUGGAACCCAUCAUUGUAGACAUCACCAAGCACACGUUUUACAAACAGCCCAUGUUCUACCACCUUGGCCACUUCAGCAAGUUCAUUCCUGAGGGCUCCCAGAGAGUGGGGCUGGUUGCCAGUCAGAAGAACGACCCGGACGCAGUGGCACUGAUGCAUCCCGAUGGCUCUGCUGUUGUGGUCGUGCUAAACCGCUCCUCUAAGGAUGUGCCUCUUACCAUCAAGGAUCCUGCUGUGGGCUUCCUGGAGACAAUCUCACCUGGCUACUCCAUUCACACCUACCUGUGGCGUCGCCAGUGAUGGAGCAGAUACUCAAGGAGGCACUGGGCUCAGCCUGGGCAUUAAAGGGACAGAGUCAGCUCA